ensembl:lncRNA
CUUCAGCCCUGUUACCAGCUUUGAUGCUCUCCUCUGGGGGCUUUCAAGAACCUUAAUGUCCUUUUUAUAUUGUGGAGCCCAGAACUGCAGGCAGUAUUUGAGAUAUCAUCAGUUGGCUCUGAUCCAUUCCACCACAGGGUCUGAGGGAGCUCGUCAGCCCUUUCUCCAGCAUCCAUGUCUGGGUGGCAUCUGGCCAUUUACUAGUUGGAAGAGACAGCACUAAGGUAAUGCAUUCACUUCCUGGGUGUAACAAAAACUCUUCAGAGGGUGAAGCUGCUUCAACAUUUCUGAAAGUCCUUUGUCACCUCACUCCUUCCAGUACCCUAAACAAUUGAGAAACUGAGUUGAUAAAAUAUUCCUUUGAGGGAAAUUGAGUUGGAAGUCCUCAUGGAUACAGAUGGCAGCAUCAGAACUGUGAGCUGAUUGGGAAAGUGUGAGAAGAUGCAUCAGAUCUUGCUGUGCUUUCAAACAUGCAUAAAGACAGCUCUAUCUUUGGCAUGGAACAAGCAUGGAGAAACUUUAAUAACAACGCAAGACGUAGUGCUGUAACCUAGGUUCAUAAGUUUCUUUUUCGUUGCCUUCAACAAAACCACCACUUAAAUCAAACUCUUCAUAAGAAAUGCUGAUCUGCAGAAUAUUACCAGAUGGGUCUCCUGCCUUCUGAAGAAAGGGGGAAAUGAGAGAGCCUCAUGUUUAACGGCAUAUGAAAGAAGAAAUACAAUGUGUAAACUUUCCACUGACGGAUAUAAUAGUGUUCUCACUUUUAAAGAAAAACAGUACUUCCUAGCAGGAGGCCUGCAAGAAAUUUAACAAUUACUCAAGAUUUAGUUGUACAGCAUGGCAUUUUCGAACAUGUGCAGAGUCUGUUAUUUUUUGUAAUUAAAUUAAUUUAAAUAAUAAAUAAAGUAAUUAAAA